rnacentral:rRNA from 1 species
GACGAACGCUGGCGGCGUGCCUAAUACAUGCAAGUCGAGCGAUGAUUAAAGAUAGCUUGCUAUUUUUAUGAAGAGCGGCGAACGGGUGAGUAACGCGUGGGAAAUCUGCCGAGUAGCGGGGGACAACGUUUGGAAACGAACGCUAAUACCGCAUAACAAUGAGAAUCGCAUGAUUCUUAUUUGAAAGAAGCAAUUGCUUCACUACUUGAUGAUCCCGCGUUGUAUUAGCUAGUUGGUAGUGUAAAGGACUACCAAGGCGAUGAUACAUAGCCGACCUGAGAGGGUGAUCGGCCACAUUGGGACUGAGACACGGCCCAAACUCCUACGGGAGGCAGCAGUAGGGAAUCUUCGGCAAUGGGGGCAACCCUGACCGAGCAACGCCGCGUGAGUGAAGAAGGUUUUCGGAUCGUAAAGCUCUGUUGUAAGUCAAGAACGGGUGUGAGAGUGGAAAGUUCACACUGUGACGGUAGCUUACCAGAAAGGGACGGCUAACUACGUGCCAGCAGCCGCGGUAAUACGUAGGUCCCGAGCGUUGUCCGGAUUUAUUGGGCGUAAAGCGAGCGCAGGUGGUUUAUUAAGUCUGGUGUAAAAGGCAGUGGCUCAACCAUUGUAUGCAUUGGAAACUGGUAGACUUGAGUGCAGGAGAGGAGAGUGGAAUUC